AUCUUGAUCUAAUCAAAGACAUGGACUUGAUCCAUCUACAACUAUUGUAAAUUGAUCUAGAAUUUUCUUGACCUAAUCUAGUUACUACUUAAUUAGAUUUGAUCAAUUAAUUCUAUUUGUCCAUGUAUGAUUCUAACCUUAGGUCUAAUCCAAUUCUAGAAACUUGAUUCAAGCUAACCCAAAUGCCCAAAGAAUUAUGCAAUGUCAAUUAAUUGAGUUACAAUUCUAUUUCAUAACACUUAAUUCUCAA
rnacentral:lncRNA from 1 species